rnacentral:misc_RNA from 1 species
UUCUCAAAAUAUUAUUGAUCUCAUUAAAUUAUCAUAGGAAAUCUAAAAAAUAAAGAAAACAACUAAGCCUAUAUACAAUGUUUGUAUAACCCUAAAUAUAUAAUUUAGAAAUUAAGGAUCCCAACCUAAUUAGAAACCCUACUAUUUUCUAUAUUUCUUCCUAAAAUAUGUAUUCCUAAAAUCCCUAGGAAUAUGACCUGCAUCGGGGGGUGGGUCAUAAGUUUGAGCAGGUCAUCUAACCAAGAGCAACAGGCCCUCAUGUUGUGCUAUCCUCAUUCAAAUCUAAAGGGCCUAAAGCCUCUCAUUAUUGUGGAGUACAUCAGUGCUGCAACAUUGAAAUUUCAACCCUAAAACUUUUAUGUACUAUGACACAAAAAUAGCAUUCAAGGCAUCAUUUAUAUCAUCAACUCAAGCCAAGUGUAAAUAGCAUUAAAACUACUACUACUAACAAUCAUGGGAAACAGUGUCUGCCUUUCUACUGGAUGUGAAUCCACAAUCAUUGUUGUGGGUGUGUGUGUAUAAACUUAAGAAUAUCUUGAAAGGGCAGUAUCUAAUUUGCAUCAAACCAUGUAUGAUUUUUUUUUUCUUUUUUCUUAAAAUUUAGAACAGGUUUUACUAAUUUUGUAAGUAUAGAAUUAACUGUCAAAAUAAGACAAAGGCCAACCUGUGCUAGUUCGCAAUUUCAGAU